rnacentral:lncRNA from 1 species
GUUUGGUCUGAAGACGGAAGCCUCCUCGGCCGCUACCAAGGCGAAAAAUCUUCAGAAGAAAUAUGACGAUGAGGAUCGAGCAAAUCAAAACCUUUUCAAAGUCGUUGAAUGACUUCAAUACUUUCUCCUCCAGAGUUCUCAAUCAAGCUAACGAGACUAUUUCCUUGCUUCAGAAGGAGUUAGAAGUUGAGCGGGUCUCUAAAGGAAAAGAACAGAGCGACGCCUUUACUACCGGGUUCUUAACCUAUCUUGUCAACUUCAUAGCGGCCGUCCCUGAAUAUGAUUGGGAAAGCCCUUUGGUCCCGCCACUCCUGCAUACAUGGUAGACUUCAAAGUGGCCGGGGCAGCUGAAAUAGAGGAGGCAAGUAUCAAUCUUAAGGCGAAGAUUAAAUCUGACACUGAAGCUAUGGCGGAGAAAGAAGGUAAUGAUGCCGAGGUUGAAAGCGAGGAUGUUAACCCCGGUGGCGAGGAAGCUCGUUCUAAUGAUUAGAACAAUUAAAUUUAAGCUUGAUCUUUUGAAGUACAUUUGGAGUGCGAGNNN